UGGGGAAUUUUGGACAAUGGGCGAAAGCCUGAUCCAGCAAUGCCGCGUGUGUGAAGAAGGCCUUCGGGUUGUAAAGCACUUUUGUCCGGAAAGAAAUGGCUCUGGUUAAUACCUGGGGUCGAUGACGGUACCGGAAGAAUAAGGACCGGCUAACUACGUGCCAGCAGCCGCGGUAAUACGUAGGGUCCAAGCGUUAAUCGGAAUUACUGGGCGUAAAGCGUGCGCAGGCGGUUGUGCAAGACCGAUGUGAAAUCCCCGAGCUUAACUUGGGAAUUGCAUUGGUGACUGCACGGCUAGAGUGUGUCAGAGGGGGGUUAGAAUUCCACGUGUAGCAGUGAAAUGCGUAGAGAUGUGGAGGAAUACCGAUGGCGAAGGCAGCCCCCUGGGAUAACACUGACGCUCAUGCACGAAAGCGUGGGGAGCAAACAGGAUUAGAUACCAUGGUAGUCCACGCCCUAAACGAUGUCAACUAGUUGUU
rnacentral:rRNA from 1 species